rnacentral:ribozyme from 1 species
UAAAACAGCAAAAACAAAGAAAGAAAAAAAAUGGUAUUGGUAUUGUUGUUUGGUAUUGUUUGGUAUUAUUGUAUGGAAGGUUGUUUUGUGUUGUCAUCAGGGAAGAGAAUCAGGGAGAAUGAAAAAAAAACCGGGA